GAGUGGGGGGCGACGCAGGGAACGACCAGGAGGGAAAAACCCUUCUUCUUGCCCUAGCUCCUCAAACCACAAGCAAUUGAAUGAGUUUCUGGCCCUAAUUCGAAUGCAUGUCAGCGAAUUCUCAACUAUCUAAGAGUUCCCUACAUAGGGAAUCAUGUCAAAAUGGUUGAGAGCAUGGAAGGCUAACGGGCUAAGAAGACUCAAGUAAAACAAACGCAAAUACGGACGCACCAGGUAAAUCUAUUGCUUGAUGCGGCGCACCCGGACCGAGCACACACGACGUUGACCUUAAUACGCUUCCGGCUCAAGUUGUCUCUUUUGAAUGGGUCGAAACGUCCUUUUGUGUAGUAAAUGUUAAACUUCAUUUUGAAUAGUUUGGAUUUAAUAUUCUAGCUAAAUUGUGUAUGGUUUUUAAUUUAGCAUCUUUUGAAUAGUGUCAUAGAAUGUAUCUUGAAUGGUUUCGUUAAAAAGCAGGAAAAUGUUCACUUUUCGAAUGGGUC
rnacentral:lncRNA from 1 species